UUGACCUCAAAUCAGGUAGGACUACCCGCUGAACUUAAGCAUAUCAAUAAGCGGAGGAAAAGAAACUAACAAGGAUUCCCCUAGUAACUGCGAGUGAAGCGGGAAGAGCUCAAAUUUGAAAUCUGGCGGUUUCUGACCGUCCGAGUUGUAAUCUAGAGAAGUGCUACCUGUGCUGGACCGUGUACAAGUCUCCUGGAAUGGAGCAUCACAGAGGGUGAGAAUCCCGUCUUUGACACGGACUGCCUGUACGUUAUGGUGCGCUCUCGAAGAGUCGAGUUGUUUGGGAAUGCAGCUCAAAAUGGGUGGUAAAUGCCAUCUAAAGCUAAAUAUUGGCGAGAGACCGAUAGCGAACAAGUACCGUGAGGGAAAGAUGAAAAGAACUUUGGAAAGAGAGUUAAACAGUACGUGAAAUUGCUGAAAGGGAAACGCUUGAAGUCAGUCACGUCAGCUAGAAAUCAGCCUUGCUUUUGCUUGGUGUACUUUCUUGCUGAUGGGUCAGCAUCAAUUUUGACCAUUGGAUAAAGUCGUUGGGAAUGUGGCAUCCUUGGAUGUGUUAUAGCCCAGUGUCGCAUACAAUGGUUGGGAUUGAGGAACUCAGCACGCCGCAAGGCCGGGUUUCAAACCACGUUCGUGCUUAGGAUGCUGGCAUAAUGGCUUUAAUCGACCCGUC
rnacentral:rRNA from 2 species